rnacentral:rRNA from 1 species
CAGUUCGGUCCCUAUCCGGCGCGGGCGUAGGAUAUUUGAGAGGAGCUGUCCUUAGUACGAGAGGACCGGGAUGGACAGACCGCUGGUGUAUCUGUUGGCUUACCAAGGCCAUGGCAGAGUAGCCAAGUCUGGACGGGAUAAACGCUGAAGGCAUCUAAGCGUGAAGCCCCCCUCAAGAUGAGAUAUCCCAUCGCAAGAGUAAGACCCCUUGAAGAAGACGAGGUAGAUAGGUUAGAGGUGGAAGUGCAGUAAUGUAUGUAGCUGACUAAUACUAAUCGGUCGAGGGCUUAACCAA